rnacentral:vault_RNA from 1 species
AGGCUGGGGGUAGCUCAGCAGUUCCUUCAACAGUGUUUCAACAACCUCUCUGUGCAGCCAGAGCAGUUUGAGACCCCUGGGUGCUCUCCAGCCCUUUA